UGCAUUCACUACUGUAAGUCGCUCUGGAUAAGAGAGUCUUCUAAAUGACUAAAA
rfam:Salmo salar isolate Sally breed double haploid chromosome ssa16, whole genome shotgun sequence.